rnacentral:rRNA from 1 species
UACGUAGGGUGCGAGCGUUGUCCGGAAUUAUUGGGCGUAAAGGGCUCGUAGGCGGUCUGUCGCGUCGGGAGUGAAAACUCAGGGCUUAACCCUGAGCCUGCUUCCGAUACGGGCAGACUAGAGGUAUGCAGGGGAGAACGGAAUUCCUGGUGUAGCGGUGGAAUGCGCAGAUAUCAGGAGGAACACCGGUGGCGAAGGCGGUUCUCUGGGCAACAACUGACGCUGAGGAGCGAAAGCGUGGGGAGCGAACAGG